GGGGGUGUAACGGUUUCGACGGGGGUGGAGAAGCCCUGGUGGCGUGCUGCCGGACCUGGUAACGGCGUCAAAAACAUCCGGGAACCACAAGUGCGAACGACAACGCGCUUGCUCUCGCGGCCUGAAAAAAGCCGAUAGAGAGCCGUCGAGGGAUGGAGCCCGUCAGCGCUCCACCCGAGGCGUCAUCGAGCUGACUGGCGCUCACUCACGCGACCCGGAGUGAGGGCGAGACAACAGGGUCGAUGGCGACGGUGGAAGCCUGUCCGUGGGCGGCCUCCGGAGCGACAUCAAAAUACGGACUACGCACGUAGAAGGCAGGUCGCGGACCGCUCUCGGACUCGGGUUCGACUCCCGACACCUCCA
rnacentral:tmRNA from 14 species